UCUAGGGUUGAAGCGAAAAAAAAAUUCACCCCCACUUUACGUGUAGGGGAGGUACCUUAAAAAAAAUUAAAUUUUUAGAUUUUAUUGUACGACUUUGUCGGCUUUAUUGAUUUAUAUAUCCAUGUCAAAGUUCAGCUUUCUAGCACUAACGACCACGGAGCAAAGCCGCGGACAGACAGACAGACAGACAGACAGACAGACAGACAGACAGACGGACAUGGCGAAACUAUAAGGGUUCCGUUUUAUGCCAUUUGGCUACGGAACCCUAAAAAACACCUUAGUAAAUGGAAAAUUUAUGUUUUAUUCACACAAUUAUUUACAUAUGAUAUUAUACGUAUUACAUAUAUGAUAAAUACAUUUACAUAUUACACAUUAUAUGUGUAUCCCAAUGAUUAUCGUUUUCAAGUAGACCUAAUCUUUGACAUGCUUCACGAUGUCUCAAAAAUGUAACCAUUGACAGUUUUUAGGGUUCCGUAGCCAAAUGGCAUAAAACGGAACCCUUAUAGUUUCGCCAUGUCCGUCUGUCUGUCUGUCUGUCUGUCUGUCUGUCUGUCUGUCUGUCUGUCUGUCUGUCUGUCUGUCCGAGGCUUUGCUCCGUGGUCGUUAGUGCUAGAAAGCUGAAAUUUGGCAUGGAUAUAUAAAUCAAUAAAGCCGACAAAGUCGUACAAUAAAAUCGAAAAAUUUAAUUUUUUUUAGGGUCCCUCCCCUACACGUAAAGUGGGGGUGAAUUUUUUUUUUUCGCUUCAACCCUAGAGUGUGGGGUAUCGUUGGAAAGGUCUUUCAAAACUAAUAGGGGUUUUCAAGAAACAUUUUUUGAUAAAGUGAAUAUAUUCGGAGAUAAUCGCUCCGAAAGAAAAACAAAAUGUGUCCCCCCCCCCUCUAACUUUUGAACCAUAGGCCCAAAAAAAUAUGAAAAAAAUCGUGGAAGUAGAGCUUAAGAAAGACAUUAAAUGAAAACUAUAGCGGACAUGAUCAGUUUAGCUGUUUUUGAGUUAUCGCAAAAAGUUUUCCCUUCAUAGUAAAAAGACUUAUUUUAAUUAGGUACUGAUUAUGCAAAUUUGCCUAUUUGUUUAACUCAGGUGAAAGGUACCGUUUCAUCCCUUGGUUAACAAUUUACUAUACUUUAAGCUCCAGUUUAGCUUAUUGUGACGGAAGAGUAACUACGGAACCCUACACUGAGCGUGGCCCGACAUGCUCUUGGCCGUUUUUUUUUAUAU